ACUUUGAGUCAUCCACACAGAGAAGGUUUGGGGGACACAGAUAGACCCCCUUCAUCUGAAAUGAACCACUUACGUGCUCAACUACUUUUCCGUUUGGGGGACUAACUGUCAAAGGCUGGGUCUGACAGAAACUGGGUCCACAGUCUGUAAGAUCUUAGCUCUUGAGAACAAUCUUAGAGUAACUGGACUAUUCAGCACCCACAAACAAAAGCCCUUGGCCUCCUAGAAGUCUGAACACAACUCCAAAACUUCCUGACAGCCCAGCAGAAGGACAAAGACCCAACAAAGUCCUCAGAUCCACCUCUGUACCUGCCAAGGGCUUUAGAAGUCGGGGCCACCUGGGAUUUCUUUCUGUUGCAAAGGACAGAAACACAACAAAGUGACUUAAAACACAAAA